GGAAUUUUGGACAAUGGGCGCAAGCCUGAUCCAGCCAUUCCGCGUGCAGGAUGAAGGCCCUCGGGUUGUAAACUGCUUUUGUACGGAACGAAAAGGCUUUCUCUAAUACAGAGAGCUCAUGACGGUACCGUAAGAAUAAGCACCGGCUAACUACGUGCCAGCAGCCGCGGUAAUACGUAGGGUGCAAGCGUUAAUCGGAAUUACUGGGCGUAAAGCGUGCGCAGGCGGUUUUGUAAGACAGUUGUGAAAUCCCCGGGCUUAACCUGGGAACUGCAUUUGUGACUGCAAGGCUGGAGUGCGGCAGAGGGGGAUGGAAUUCCGCGUGUAGCAGUGAAAUGCGUAGAUAUGCGGAGGAACACCGAUGGCGAAGGCAAUCCCCUGGGCCUGCACUGACGCUCAUGCACGAAAGCGUGGGGAGCAAACAG
rnacentral:rRNA from 1 species